AAAAAUAAAAAAUUCAGUGAAACUAACUAUAAUAGUGUAAUGUCUGAAAAAUAUAUCAUAAUCGUUCGAAUAGUUUUAGGAGAUAAAACUAUUUUAGUGUGACAUCACUUAUCUUUACUGUAGAACGACUCUGUUAAUGAUCAUUUGUUAUCAGAAUCAUUUUAUUUUAAAAAUAACCUCAGAACGAUACUAGUUAUGGAUGAAAGAAUCACGUUAUAUUGGAUCAACAAAAUGAAUAACAUUGGGUGUUAUAAACAUUAACCAGUUUAAUAGUUAUAACACGACGAAAUGUUAUAUUUCAUAAGCAAUGAAUCCUCAUAGGGAAUAGGUAAAAUUGAAAUAGAAUCUAAUUUCGUUCUGGCACUUACCAGUCUUUAUGUCCUCCAUAUUAAUUUUUGCACGUUUACAGUCGACAAACCAACAAACGUCAGUAGCAAACUGUGUCAAAUGACGAAUUUGCGGUGAAGCGGCACACUGCUGGAACUGACAGCCGAAUGAAUCAUGGAGUGAAUGGCGGGCUCUAGUUUUAACAAUAAGAUAUCCAGCGAAACGAAAGAGGUCAGCUUCGGGUGCCUAUUCUACUGAAUUCGUCGCACCCCGCCCAUCUUAAAUGUCAUUUAAAAUUGAGUGGUGACGUCAGGGUAGUGCGCACCAGUCACCACGUGCUUGUACGUCACCGUUUGUGAGCGCAGCGAAAACUCGUUGGUUCAUAUUAAAAACUGGUUGCGAUGAUACGCAAGUGAGGUCGUAUGCAAGAUGAUGGAAGAAAUAACAAAUAAGGGAUGUCUUGAGGUGAUAAAUAACAAUUUCGCAAUGUGUUAUAUAUUAUUAAUCAUGUAAUAUAAUUCUUAACAAAAAUAAAUGUAGCGUUUACACAAAA